rnacentral:rRNA from 1 species
AUGAACGCUGGCGGCGUGCCUAAUACAUGCAAGUCGAGCGAACAGAUGAGGAGCUUGCUCCUUUGACGUUAGCGGCGGACGGGUGAGUAACACGUGGAUAACCUACCUAUAAGACUGGGAUAACUUCGGGAAACCGGAGCUAAUACCGGAUAAUAUAUUGAACCGCAUGGUUCAAUAGUGAAAGACGGUUUUGCUGUCACUUAUAGAUGGAUCCGCGCCGCAUUAGCUAGUUGGUAAGGUAACGGCUUACCAAGGCAACGAUGCGUAGCCGACCUGAGAGGGUGAUCGGCCACACUGGAACUGAGACACGGUCCAGACUCCUACGGGAGGCAGCAGUAGGGAAUCUUCCGCAAUGGGCGAAAGCCUGACGGAGCAACGACGCGUGAGUGAUGAAGGUCUUCGGAUCGUAAAACUCUGUUAUUAGGGAAGAACAAAUGUGUAAGUAACUAUGCACGUCUUGACGGUACCUAAUCAGAAAGCCACGGCUAACUACGUG